AUUUUUUAAAAUUUUGAGUUUUGUGAAAUUUAUACAAUUAGAAAGAUGUCCCUCAAUGAAAUUAAUGAAUGAUUUCUUUUAAAUACUUGUUUAUAUUUAUAAUUCUUGACAAAUAGAAAUGAAAGAAGUGUUAUCCUAUCAACCAACCACAAAUAUGGUUUGGAAAAUUUCAUCAUUUAUUCAUACAUGCACAUCUCAAAUAACAUCUAGCAAAGUUAUCAUUUGAGAUGUCUGUUAGCCACUAAGCAUUACAAAUCAAAAUGGUUUGAAGCAAUGUUUGAAGUCUUAAAGUAAAAACCAAUCAAUUUUGAACAUGUACGUGAAAAAUUUGUCCAUUAUUGUAUAACUUGUUCAUUUUUAAAAUUAAACUUAAAUAAAAAAAAAAUAAAGGUUAGGUUAGCCUCGUCAAAAACUUUUACUUGACCUAAUCCCCCACAUCAUUUUUGCAUACACCCACCAUCAUCGUAUUAUUCUUAAUUGCAUCCAACCACCUCUUCAUUCUUCCUCUUCCCCCAUUUUCCUCGUGUCUAUUUUCAAUAAUAAUCCUUGCUGCUUCUAAUUCAUUUCUUUAUGACGUACCCAAACCAUCUCAGUCUAGUAUUUUGUCUACUAUGGAACCACACCUUAGCUUUAACAUAUAUCUGUACACAAUUAACUAUUGCUAACAAAAUAUGGUUCUGAGUAGAAUUCGGUUAAUAGUGUUGUUUUGUAAUAUUUAUAAAUUUCAUCAACAUUUUUAUUAAAAAAAAAAAAUUACUACAUUAAACUUAAUUUUUUUUUUU